rnacentral:rRNA from 1 species
ACUCCUACGGGAGGCAGCAGUGAGGAAUAUUGGUCAAUGGACGCAAGUCUGAACCAGCCAUGCCGCGUGCAGGAUGACGGCCCUAUGGGUUGUAAACUGCUUUUAUACGGGAAUAAACCCCUUUACGUGUAGAGGGCUGAAGGUACCGUAAGAAUAAGGAUCGGCUAACUCCGUGCCAGCAGCCGCGGUAAUACGGAGGAUCCAAGCGUUAUCCGGAUUUAUUGGGUUUAAAGGGUCCGUAGGCGGGAUACUAAGUCAGUGGUGAAAGCCUGCAGCUUAACUGUAGCACUGCCAUUGAUACUGGUAUUCUUGAGUAUAGUUGAAGUGGGCGGAAUAAGUCAUGUAGCGGUGAAAUGCAUAGAUAUGACUUAGAACACCUAUUGCGAAGGCAGCUCACUAAGCUAUUACUGACGCUCAGGGGACGAAAGCGUGGGUAGCAAACAGGAUUAGAUACCCUGGUAGGCUCUG